AUCGCUAGUAAUCGCGGAUCAGCACGCCGCGGUGAAUACGUUCCCGGGCCUUGUACACACCGCCCGUCACACCACGAGAGUUUGUAACACCCGAAGUCGGUGAGGUAACCUUUUUGGAGCCAGCCGCCUAAGGUGGGAUAGAUGAUUGGGGUGAAGUCGUAACAAGGUAGCCGUAUCGGAAGGUGCGGCUGGAUCACCUCCUUUCUAAGGAA
rnacentral:rRNA from 1 species